rnacentral:rRNA from 3 species
CUGACCUCAAAUCAGGUAGGACUA